rnacentral:rRNA from 1 species
UACGUAGGCAGCAAGCGUUGUUCGGAAUUACUGGGCGUAAAGAGUGUGUAGGCGGUGCUCUAAGUCUGUUGUGAAAUCUCCCGGCUUAACCGGGAGGGUGCGGCGGAAACUAGAGUGCUUGAGGGUGGGAGAGGUAAGCGGAAUUCCUGGUGUAGCGGUGAAAUGCGUAGAUAUCAGGAGGAACACCUGUGGUGUAGACAGCUUACUGGACCACUUCUGACGCUGAGACACGAAAGCGUGGGUAGCAAACAGG